AUGAACGCUAGCUACAGGCUUAACACAUGCAAGUCGAGGGGCAUCAGGAAGAAAGCUUGCUUUCUUUGCUGGCGACCGGCGCACGGGUGAGUAACACGUAUCCAACCUGCCCUUUACUCGGGGAUAGCCUUUCGAAAGAAAGAUUAAUACCCGAUGGCAUAAUGAUUCCGCAUGGUUUCAUUAUUAAAGGAUUCCGGUAAAGGAUGGGGAUGCGUUCCAUUAGGUUGUUGGUGAGGUAACGGCUCACCAAGCCUUCGAUGGAUAGGGGUUCUGAGAGGAAGGUCCCCCACAUUGGAACUGAGACACGGUCCAAACUCCUACGGGAGGCAGCAGUGAGGAAUAUUGGUCAAUGGGCGCUAGCCUGAACCAGCCAAGUAGCGUGAAGGAUGAAGGCUCUAUGGGUCGUAAACUUCUUUUAUAUAAGAAUAAAGUGCAGUAUGUAUACUGUUUUGUAUGUAUUAUAUGAAUAAGGAUCGGCUAACUCCGUGCCAGCAGCCGCGGUAAUACGGAGGAUCCGAGCGUUAUCCGGAUUUAUUGGGUUUAAAGGGAGCGUAGGUGGACUGGUAAGUCAGUUGUGAAAGUUUGCGGCUCAACCGUAAAAUUGCAGUUGAUACUGUCAGUCUUGAGUACAGUAGAGGUGGGCGGAAUUCGUGGUGUAGCGGUGAAAUGCUUAGAUAUCACGAAGAACUCCGAUUGUGAAGGCAGCUCACUGGACUGCAACUGACACUGAUGCUCGAAAGUGUGGGUAUCAAACAGGAUUAGAUACCCUGGUAGUCCACACAGUAAACGAUGAAUACUCGCUGUUUGCGAUAUACAGUAAGCGGCCAAGCGAAAGCAUUAAGUAUUCCACCUGGGGAGUACGCCGGCAACGGUGAAACUCAAAGGAAUUGACGGGGGCCCGCACAAGCGGAGGAACAUGUGGUUUAAUUCGAUGAUACGCGAGGAACCUUACCCGGGCUUAAAUUGCAGUGGAAUGAUGUGGAAACAUGUCAGUGAGCAAUCACCGCUGUGAAGGUGCUGCAUGGUUGUCGUCAGCUCGUGCCGUGAGGUGUCGGCUUAAGUGCCAUAACGAGCGCAACCCUUAUCUUUAGUUACUAACAGGUCAUGCUGAGGACUCUAGAGAGACUGCCGUCGUAAGAUGUGAGGAAGGUGGGGAUGACGUCAAAUCAGCACGGCCCUUACGUCCGGGGCUACACACGUGUUACAAUGGGGGGUACAGAAGGCAGCUAGCGGGUGACCGUAUGCUAAUCCCAAAAUCCUCUCUCAGUUCGGAUCGAAGUCUGCAACCCGACUUCGUGAAGCUGGAUUCGCUAGUAAUCGCGCAUCAGCCACGGCGCGGUGAAUACGUUCCCGGGCCUUGUACACACCGCCCGUCAAGCCAUGGGAGCCGGGGGUACCUGAAGUACGUAACCGCAAGGAUCGUCCUAGGGUAAAACUGGUGACUGGGGCU
rnacentral:rRNA from 1 species